GGCCUUUUGAUUAUAAUUUAAGGUCUGACCUGCCCAAUGAAUUUAUUUUUAAAUGGCUGCGGUAUUUUGACCGUGCAAAGGUAGCAUAAUCAUUAGUUUUUUAAUUGAAAGCUUGUAUGAAAGGUUUGAUGAGAAAAUAACUGUCUCUAGUUAAAUUUAUUAGAAUUUUAUUUUUAAGUCAAAAAGCUUAAAUAUAUAUUGAAGACGAGAAGACCCUAUAGAAUUUUAUAUUUUGUUAUAAUUUAAUUUUAAUAGAUUUUUAUAAUUAAAUUAUAAUUAAAUAUUUGGUUGGGGUGACAGAAAAAUUAAAUAAACUUUUUUUUUAUUAAAUCAUUAAUUUAUGAAUAUUUGAUCCAAAUUUUUUUGAUUAAAAGAAUAAAUUACCUUAGGGAUAACAGCGUUAUUUUUUUUUAGAGUUCAAAUCGAAAAAAAAGAUUGCGACCUCGAUGUUGGAUUAAAAUAAAAAAUUGGUGUAGGGGCUAAUUGAUUAGGUCUGUUCGACCUUUAAAAUUUUACAUGAUCUGAGUUUAAACCGGCG
rnacentral:rRNA from 1 species